CUCCGUCAAUCGCUGCUUCCUAGUACUGGCGAAUACCAUAAGCACUGCACUGGAACACCAUAACGACUGUAAACCCCACGAACUGCCGCAGGUUGGUUGGGGUCUUGCCGUCCUCCACCCACUCUUGACCCAAGACCAAGAUCCAGCUCCCAAUGGGUAGGCCUCUCCUAGUCCAGAGAGCGUAGCGUGAAUAGCUCUUAGAAG